ACGUAAUAUCACUUAAGUGGUUUUUUUCCUGUCAAAAAGUUGACUUGACAUUUGCUAUAUUAAGACCAUGCUUAUAUCCAGAGACCUAGUACUUUCCCCAGAAUUGAUUUUGUAAAUGUUGGUAAUAAAC